UUUACUGUCUGAUUCAUAGAGACUCCCAGAAAAAAGAAGACUCUUCAUGUGCUGUGAUAUAUCAUCCCUAUAUGUGGGUAUAACCAGAGCUUAGUUUUAUGCUGCAUGGUGAAGUUCUCUGCACAAGCCCUAUUCUGAAGGAAGCUGUACAAAAGCAGUUUUUUCUGGAAGCUACCACAUUGUGGAAUUGUGCCUUCUGGGUCAGAGAUGAAAGGAGCUGGCCAGUAAGUGUGAAGCUGAAACAUUUUUUUCCAAAGCAGUGGCAAACACUGUCCUGGGGAGGAGAAAACAUUGCAGAAGGCUUCAGCUGAAUGUGAAUGGUUUAGUGAAAGUAUAGUCUGCUGGACUUUGCUUAAGCAAAAAGCAAUCAUUCUCCUUGUAAAUGUAAGAACACAGAGAAGGAAGAAAAUUUGCCAAGUAAGAAAGCAUUAUGGGCCAUUAGCAAAUUAAGGAAUGUGUAUCCUCUCCCAUGAACUUAUUGCUGCACAUAAAGAUCUGAAACUGUUCUGCUCUUGCGUUGUGGUAUUAGCCAACAUGAGGUGACCGCUGGGAAGAGGGUUCAGAAAUGUGCAAGAGAUGAAAAUUCCCUGCAAUAUAUUUUAUACGGUAAAAACAUAUAGGUUUUGUUGUUGUUGUUUGUUUGUUUGUUUUCUCAUGGAUGUUGCAAUGUUGUCAAACCCAGUAAGUCAAAUAUCAUUUUUCUACUGGGGAAGAAUACAAACAAAAUUGCUCACAUAGUAAUAAUGACUGACAUUCUUUAUGUUGUAUGCUGAAAGGACACCAUUAGGAGGGGCUAAGAUGUGAUGACCCAUACAGAUCUUUAUAGAGGACCAAAAAGGAAUUCCUGGGAGAUGUGUAUCAGCCCUUGAAAUACGUCCUGCAUAUGAUCCUGAGUCCAUCUGUGGUUGUGAAUAGGUUGGUAAGGCCUUAGUCUUCCACCCAGUAGCUAGGCCUUCACACCAGAAACAUUAAAAUUAUUGAGCUUGAUAUUGGCAUUUGGCAUCUAUAGCGUCAGCUGAAUUCGCAUUCUCAUUGGUUUUAUAAUUCUAUAUUAUUUUCUAAUGACAGUCUGCAUUCACAGUGGGUGAAGAAUGGGCAUGGACCCUUUGCUGGCUCUAAUGGAAGCUAUUGCUCUUGGUGGCAGGCAUAAAAUGGGCAAAUCUGCCUGUUUGAGUUGUGGAUAGGUAAGUCGGAUCAGCUGCUACUGGUGCUCUAGGCAUUUCACCAUUAAAAAUGUUGUAUGUCUCUUGAUUUGUCCACUAAGUCAACUUUGUAAUUCUAAAAGCAAAGCCAAUUACUAGAGUUUCACUUAUUAAGCUUUUUCAUUGGUGUGUUUUUCAUUGACACUCUUUAGCUAAGGCAAAGGUUAUUAUUUUUAAUAAUUAUCCCUAACGAAUUUUGCGCAUGGGAAGUGUAUAACAAAGCAUAUGUCCUUCAACAUCUUUGCUGUAGAAAUAAACAAAUUAAAAAUAAUUCUUGGAAGAUAGUCUAAUAUUCCUUUGUCCUUGAAGUCUUAAAGUAUUAUCAAAAUAAGGUAAAACCAAAAUCAAUUUAUAGAUGAAAAUCCUAGGAAUCUGCCUGCGUGGUCCCUACUACUUAACGAGAUCUUAAUUUUCAAAGAUUAAAGCUGUGAUACUGAGACAGCGGCCUCUCUUGGAAACCAGUGCUUUUUGUUUGGAAGAUACUAGGCUUAUCUCUGGAUAUGUGGUUUUAAAUCCCAGCACUGUUCAAUGCCUCCAACUCUGCUGCUAACUCAGUAAGCAGAGGAAGGAGUUUGCAGGGCCAAAGGAGAUAUGUGUACACUCUGAAGUUGGAAGGCACCUUACCAUUUGACAAAUGGGCAUAAGAGUGGUAAAAGAGAAAAGUUAAGGACAAAUCAGCAUCAGGAAGUGUAUUUUUCCUUAUGAUUUGCAGCUUUCUAGAGUUUUGGUUUCUAAACCAAAAAAUCAGGUUAUUAAUUAUUAGAAAGUGAAACAAACAAAUGCAGUACGGGAUCUAAGUCUUAGCUAAGGCUCAGCUGUGGGCAGGAAAUCAUUACUUCCUGAGGAGAUUUUGUCCAGUGAAAUUGAGGUUUUAUGGGAACAACUCCAGAAGUGCCAUGCUGGAUAUUGACAACUUAGAAAACAUAGCAAUUCUGACACCUGAGGGGGAAUAGUUCAGAUGCUUGUUUUAAUGAAAUAUAAAUAAUGUGAAAAUCUUAAUAAAAUCAAGCUGCGAUACUGAUUCCAUUGCUUAAGUGUAGCAUUUUUAGGAUUCAAAUGAAAGGAAGAGGAAAAAGUUUCUCCUGUCUCCCUUCACUAUACCUGUUCUUGGGUAUCUUGCUAGAUGUCAUUCAGUAAAGGAGUCAAACUAGGCCCUCCAGGCAAUUUGUGACAGCAGAAAACAGGGUUAACUUCCAGAAGAUUUUUGUCUGUGUACUGCAAGGUCCUGGGCUAUACCUGCACUACAAGUACAAGUGGGAUUGAAGUGCUGGAGGCACCACAGUGAAGUCUGUGCUGCUAUGUCC